GAGCUUUGGUUAUAUUUAUUGAAAUUAUUCGUUAUAUAAUCGUAACGAAUACCACUAGAGCAUAGACAAUAUAUUUCGAUUAUGCCAACCUCUUUACUCGACGUAGGUAGUUCGCCACUCGAGCUGCGCUCUCGUGAUGUUUCGCGAACUACCUAUAGUAAUAGUAAAUUUUAUUCGCCAUCAAGAAAGAAUUACAUGGCACGUCAUAUAAACACAUUCAGCAAUAUUACAUAAUGAGAAAAAACAUACUAAUAUAAAUAUAAACAUCAGUUAACACAGUUUAACAAGUUAAAAUUUCAAUCCAUCAACACGCUGAAGACAACACAAGUCAGAACUCGAAUCUCAAAAACUCGUCAACAGAAUAAAAUACGUUCUCCAACAACAAAUUCUUGACAUUUCCUUGAAGAGCUGACCUUGGCAAACUCUUAAUAGAUUGGGAAAGCUUGUUGUACAGUUUAAUGCACCAGUAAUUUACUGCAAUUUGAGUGGAUUUAGCUCUAUGAAAAUUGCUCCUGAACUCAUCUCUGUGUCUGGUGUUGUACGAAUGGCAAUCGCUGACUUGAGUGAACCCAUUUUUGUUUGAGUGAACAAAUUUCAAGCACUCCAGAAUGAAAACGGAGACAAUGGAAAAUCCGAUCAAGACCUGGACUAUGCCCCCAUAUCAGUAUCCCAUAUGUCGCCACAGAGUGAAAGUUGGAAAAAUAAGUCAGCUUACAGACAUUAUCGGUAGAGAUGGCCUUCAUACGCCUCAUAGUAAAAAGGGCUGUCGACAGUUUCCUGACCAUUAAAGGUAAACCAGUCCUCCGCAACUCGCAGGGUCUCAUUACACACACGCUCCAGUUCCUCCCGUGAAGAAGUAAUAUUGAGAAAGGAUGUAUCAUCUGCAUAUAAACUCGUUGCCUCGCACGGAACAUUUCCUGGUAAGUCAUUAAUGUACACAACGAACAACAAAGGACCCAGUAUCGAUCCCUGUGGGACUCCCACAUUUAUCUCUCUAAUUCCAGAGUUCAUACCCUUCCAUGUGACCACCUGCUUUCUAUCAGUUAAGUAUGAUCUGAUGAAUUUCAAAGCUAUACCUCUUACUCCAUAGUACUCCAUCUUCUCAAGCAGUAUUUCCCUGUCAACACAGUCAAAAGCCUUACUGAGAUCUAACGCAAGUAUUUCAGGGUGUAGAUGAUGGUCUAAAGCCUCUGUGACUCCCGCAAUGAGUUCAACUAUUGCUGAAGUAGUGGAUCGCUUCGAUCUAAAACCAUGUUGAGAGUCAGAAAUAUACCUCUCGUGAAUCGGUGCAUAAUCGAAUAUUGUCUAUAUUAUAUCUGAUUA